rnacentral:rRNA from 1 species
UACAGAGGGUGCGAGCGUUAAUCGGAAUUACUGGGCGUAAAGCGCGCGUAGGCGGCUUUGCAAGUCGGGUGUGAAAUCCCCAGGCUCAACCUGGGAACUGCAUUCGAGACUGCAUUGCUAGAGUAUGGGGAGAGGGAAGUGGAAUUUUCCGGUGUAGCGGUGAAAAUGCGUAGAUAUCGGAAGGAACAUCAGUGGCGAAAGCGACUUCCUGGACCAAUACUGACGCUCAUGUGCGAAAGCGUGGGGAGCAAAACAGG